rnacentral:sRNA from 1 species
UAGUGUCUAUCAGGGUGUUAAUGGCGUC